GUACGGGAGGCAGCAGUAAGGAAUAUUGGGCAAUGGACGGAAGUCUGACCCAGCCAUGCCGCGUGGAGGAUGAAGGUCCUCUGGAUUGUAAACUUCUUUUAUCAAUAAAGAAAAGGGUCUUUUCUAAGAUUUUUGACGGUAAUUGAUGAAUAAGCACCGGCUAACUCCGUGCCAGCAGCCGCGGUAAUACGGAGGGUGCAAGCGUUAUCCGGAUUCACUGGGUUUAAAGGGAGCGUAGGUGGGUUUGUAAGUCAGUGGUGAAAUACCCGAGCUUAACUCGGGAACUGCCAUUGAUACUGCGAAUCUUGAAUAUCGUAGAGGUAAGCGGAAUAUGUCAUGUAGCGGUGAAAUGCUUAGAUAUGACAUAGAACACCAAUUGCGAAGGCAGCUUGCUAUGCGAAUAUUGACACUAAUGCUCGAAAGCGUGGGGAUCAAACAGGAUUAGAUACCCGAGUAU
rnacentral:rRNA from 1 species